GGGCGAUUGGCGCAGUUGGUUAGCGCGUUUCCUCGACACGGAAGAGGUCGCUGGUUCAAAUCCAGUAUCGCCCA
rnacentral:tRNA from 1 species